GGUCUUAAAGUUAACUUAAAUUGCAAAUUUAAGGUGGUUUAAAAUAUAUAAGCUAAGGCUU
rnacentral:tRNA from 1 species